GUGUCAGCAGCCGCGCGGUAAUACGAAGGGACCUAGCGUAGUUCGGAAUUACUGGGCUUAAAGAGCACGUAGGUGGUUAAGAAAGUUGGUGGUGAAAUCCCAAGGCUUAACCUUGGAACUGCCACCAAAACUUUUUAACUAGAGUAUGAUAGAGGUAAGCGGAAUUUCUAGUGUAGAGGUGAAAUUCGUAGAUAUUAGAAAGAACACCAAUUGCGAAGGCAGCUUUCUGGAUCAUUACUGACACUGAGGUGCGAAAGCAUGGGUAGCGAAGAGGAUUAGAUACCCUCGUAGUCCAUGCUGUAAACGAUGUGUGCUAGACGUUGGAAAUUUAAUUUUCAGUGUCGCAGCAAAAGCGUUAAGCACACCGCCUGGGGAGUACGACCGCAAGGUUAAAACUCAAAUGAAUUGACGGGGACCCGCACAAGCAGUGGAGCAUGUGGUUUAAUUCGAAGAUACGCGCAGAACCUUACCAACACUUGACAUGUUCGUCGCGACUCUAAGAGAUUAGAGUUUUCGGUUCGGCCGGACGAAACACAGGUGCUGCAUGGCUGUCGUCAGCUCGUGUCGUGAGAUGUUGGGUUAAGUCCCGCAACGAGCGCAACCCUCACUUUUAGUUGCUACCAUUAAGUUGGGCACUCUAAAAGAACUGCCAGUGAUAAGCUGGAGGAAGGUGGGGAUGACGUCAAGUCCUCAUGGCCCUUACGUGUUGGGCUACACACGUGCUACAAUGGUAUUUACAAUGGGAUGCAAAGGGGCGACCCUUAGCCAAUCCCAAAAAUAUACCUCAGUUCGGAUUGUACUCUGCAACUCGAGUGCAUGAAGCUGGAAUUGCUAGUAAUCGCGGAUCAGCGCGCCGCGGUGAAUACGUUCCCGGGUCUUGCACACACCGCCCGUCA
rnacentral:rRNA from 1 species